GAUGAACGCUAGCGGCAGGCCUAACACAUGCAAGUCGAGGGAGAAGCCCUUUCGGGGGCAGAAACCGGCGCACGGGUGCGUAACGCGUAUGCAACCUACCUUUCACAGGGGGAUAGCCCGAAGAAAUUUGGAUUAAUACCCCAUAAUAUUAUUGGAUGGCAUCAUUUGAUAAUUAAAACUGCGGUGGUGAAAGAUGGGCAUGCGUCCUAUUAGCUAGUUGGAGUGGUAACGGCACCCCAAGGCUACGAUAGGUAGGGGUCCUGAGAGGGAGAUCCCCCACACUGGUAUGAGACAGGGACCAGACUCCCACGGGAGGCAGCAGUGAGGAAUAUUGGUCAAUGGUCGGAAGACUGAACCAGCCAUGCCGCGUGCAGGAAGAAUGCCUUAUGGGUUGUAGACUGCUUUUAUAUGGGAAGAAUAAGGCGUACCUGUAC
rnacentral:rRNA from 1 species